AUUGAACGCUGGCGGCAUGCCUUACACAUGCAAGUCGAACGGUAACAGGUCUUCGGAUGCUGACGAGUGGCGAACGGGUGAGUAAUACAUCGGAACGUGCCCGAUCGUGGGGGAUAACGAAGCGAAAGCUUUGCUAAUACCGCAUACGAUCUACGGAUGAAAGCAGGGGACCGCAAGGCCUUGCGCGAACGGAGCGGCCGAUGGCAGAUUAGGUAGUUGGUGGGUUAAAAGCUUACCAAGCCGACGAUCUGUAGCUGGUCUGAGAGGACGACCAGCCACACUGGGACUGAGACACGGCCCAGACUCCUACGGGAGGCAGCAGUGGGGAAUUUUGGACAAUGGGCGAAAGCCUGAUCCAGUCAUGCCGCGUGCAGGAUGAAGGCCUUCGGGUUGUAAACUGCUUUUGUACGGAACGAAAAGACUCUGGUUAAUACCUGGGGUCCAUGACGGUACCGUAAGAAUAAGCACCGGCUAACUACGUG
rnacentral:rRNA from 1 species